UGGGGAAUUUUGCGCAAUGGGCGAAAGCCUGACGCAGCGACGCCGCGUGUGCGAUGAAGGCCUUUGGGUCGUAAAGCACUGUCAAGCGGGAAGAAAUCCUGCGGGCGAAUAACCCGGAGGGAUGACGGUACCGCUGGAGGAAGCACCGGCUAACUCUGUGCCAGCAGCCGCGGUAAUACAGAGGGUGCAAACGUUGUUCGGAAUUACUGGGCGUAAAGAGCGUGUAGGCGGCACGUUAAGUCGACUGUGAAAGCCCAUGGCUCAACCAUGGAAGUGCAGUCGAUACUGGCAUGCUAGAGUCCCGGAGAGGGUGGUGGAAUUCCCAGUGUAGAGGUGAAAUUCGUAGAUAUUGGGAAGAACACCGAUGGCGAAGGCAGCCAUCUGGCCCGGGAUUGACGCUGAGGCGCGAAAGCGUGGGGAGCAAACAGGAUUAGAUACCCCCGUAGUCC
rnacentral:rRNA from 1 species